rnacentral:misc_RNA from 1 species
UCAAACUUGGUCAUUUAGAGGAAGUAAAAGUCGUAACAAGGUUUCCGUAGGUGAACCUGCGGAAGGAUCAUUACCGAGAGCGGGUCCCCCACGUGGGGGCCCAACCUCCCACCCGUGUCUACCACGCCCCGUUGCUUCGGCGGGCCUGCCCGCUGUGGCGGCCGGGGGGGGCCUCCUGCCCCCCGGGCCCGCGCCCGCCGGAGACACGCCGCAUGAACCCUGUUUGAACGUGGCCGUCUGAGUGGAUUUUGGGCAAUCGUCAAAACUUUCAACAACGGAUCUCUUGGUUCCGGCAUCGAUGAAGAACGCAGC